GGGAAAUAACAGGGUGGUUAACACGCCCAAUCCUUAGGUGCCAGUAGGUCUGGGGGCUGACAGGCUCUUGAUCAUCAAGUAGUUAAUUCCCUCCAUUUGGAGGUGGUUUUUAGCAUUUGAAAAACUCGGGAAAUAUGUGUGAGCUACUAUCAUCUGCGUGCAGGAGGGAGGAGCUACAGCAGUGAUAUAGGGGAGGAGUCUGGCCUGGGAAGACCUAGUAGGGUCCUGCUUGGCUGCAAUUCUCCAGGAAGUCAGAGAGCAGGUGGUCUGCGUUGCCAAAACUCAGAGGGUGCGGACCCCAAAGGGCCUGAUGCAGGAUCUUUUCCAGGGCCACUGUGGCUUCUUUAGUGUCCAAGGCUUUAUUCCAUUCAUCUUGGGGUGGAUUCUGUAGGUCUCAGUAAAGGGAGUAACCUCUGCACUUGUCUGACAUCUUCAAGAGAUGCUGGCCGCCCUCAAGCUUCUCCUCGGCCAGCUCGCAGAAGAGGUGGCCCAAGCCUUCGGGAACCCCACUGUGGUGGUUGAAAGGAGGUCCGGAGCGAAUUUUUGCUGCUUAGGAGUGGGACUCGAAGCUAACUGCUAGUGGCUUGAUGACAAACGCACAGCUGAGGCGGCCCUGAGCCCUUGGAAUUCACUGUUCUCAGCGUUACCAUGGGUCUUGGCUAUCCCAGCUUCGGCGAGCAGUUCCCUGACUGCUUUUACAAGUAGAAAUUAUCUUCAGCUUUAAAACAAGCAGUUUGUGGACCCAGGCUCCUUUGGGGGAAAAAUGACAGGAAGAAGUCACUUAUGUUUCUCAAGAAAGAUGCCUGUCAACUCAAUGACCUCAGGAGCCAGACUUUGUCAACCAAGAGAAGAUCUCAAAGGCACAGAAACUCUAAUUCCACUUCUCUACUCCAGAAUACUGGAGAUGAAAGGAGACCUAGAAUAGAGAAUGGGAGGAGGAGAAAAAAAAAAAAGUAACAGACCUGACGUCCUCCCUACUCCAAGUUCCCCAGCCAGGGUCAAGCCGAAUGAGUUGGAAAGAAUGGUGUGAGAUUGAUGAUGUAAACUGAGAUGAAUGUAUAGGACUAAACUGGAGUGUUAAUAUGUGAAAGUGAUCGGAAAGCUGUGGGAUCUGCCCUGCGUAUCAUUAAGGGUUUGAAAAUUGUUAGUUAGAAAGUUAGUGAAGAAAUAAAGCAAUUACAUACUUGUAUCACAAUGAAUUAGACUUGUCAAUAAACCAGUUAUGUGCAGAAGGA